rnacentral:lncRNA from 1 species
CUUCUCGAAGGGAGGGGAAUGCCCCUCUUAGAACUCUAGAUCAAGCUGGACUUUUUCUGUGGAGCAGGAGACUUAUGAUUCCAGAUCCCUGGACAAAGCUUCCAGAGCAAAAUUCAUGCUUUCCUGUCCUAAAGGUAGAAGUUUGUUCUACUUCUUCGAACUUGGGAGAUUCGAGUAAACUUCAGCCUUGCCAGAAACAUCCUUCCUCUGGAAAACUCCAGUAGGCCCUCCCUGCUCACCUUCCUCCAUCUACCUCUCUGCUGCAAGAAGUGUAUGUUUGGCUCCUGCACAAGAAAAUGCACUGGCGUUUUUUUACCAGGGAGUGUCUAGUAAUUUCUAAGUGAGUUUCUGAAACCUCCAAGCUAGACUUUUUUUUUUCCUUAAGCAAAUAAAGCCUGAGAGGUGAAGCAUCUUCAAAGAGUUGUGUGCACUCAGCAACUUUGGUGUGUUAGUUUGUCUUUCAAUCUGCCUUACUCAGGGUACUUAUCUCUUAGAAAGGGAGAUUAUUACCCCCAGACUGGGUUGGAAACCGCUUCGCUGACAGGUUUAAGAGUCUUAACAAUUUAUUUACAGCAGAAAAGGCAAAACUGUGCAAAAUGGCAGACUUCAUUCUCCCUGCAAGGGUCAGCUGGGUGGGGAGGGAAGUGGAAUCAAAAUGGGGAACCUCUCAACUGUGCUCAGAAAGGUUGGGCUUCCUGUGGGAGGGAGGUUGGGGUAGGGGUGAACAUUGGCAUUUCCUCCUGAGCAACCAGUUAUCUCCUUGAAUAGAGACAACUGCUAAACUGACAAGCCCUUCACCGGUAACCGUUGAUCUGGCUUAUGACUCAAGACUUAAAAGAACCCUAGAGUUGUCGCAAUUACUCUUCCUGUUUCUCACACCCAGAAAGCUAGACCAAUAAUAGAAUCACGCCGUUGAGUUUCUCCUGACCUUGCUUUUGGUACCCAGUUGAAGAGUCUUUUCCUUGGACGUGGCAGAAUCUGAACUAUGACUAAUACAUACAGAUUUGCAAGAAGAGGACAAGAGAGUGUGUUUAUGUUUCUCUCUCCCUAGCAGCUCCUCCUAGUCUAAUAUAGGGAAGAUACUAG